UACGUAGGGUGUAAGCGUUAAUCGGAAUUACUGGGCGUAAAGCGUGCGCAGGCGGUGAUGUAAGUCAGUUGUGAAAUCCCCGGGCUCAACCUGGGAACUGCAUCUGUGACUGCAUCGCUGGAGUGCGGCAGAGGGGGAUGGAAUUCCGCGUGUAGCAGUGAAAUGCGUAGAUAUGCGGAGGAACACCGAUGGCGAAGGCAAUCCCCUGGGCCUGCACUGACGCUCAUGCACGAAAGCGUGGGGAGCAAACAGG
rnacentral:rRNA from 1 species